rnacentral:rRNA from 1 species
AUUGAACGCUGGCGGCAGGCUUAACACAUGCAAGUCGAGCGGAGCGAGGGUGCUUGCACCUUAGCUUAGCGGCGGACGGGUGAGUAAUGCUUAGGAAUCUGCCUAUUAGUGGGGGACAACAUUCCGAAAGGAAUGCUAAUACCGCAUACGCCCUACGGGGGAAAGCAGGGGAUCUUCGGACCUUGCGCUAAUAGAUGAGCCUAAGUCGGAUUAGCUAGUUGGUGGGAUAAAGGCCUACCAAGGCGACGUUCUGUAGCGGGUCUGAGAGGAUGAUCCGCCACACUGGGACUGAGACACGGCCCAGACUCCUACGGGAGGCAGCAGUGGGGAAUAUUGGACAAUGGGCGGAAGCCUGAUCCAGCCAUGCCGCGUGUGUGAAGAAGGCCUUUUGGUUGUAAAGCACUUUAAGCGAGGAGGAGGCUCUUAAGGUUAAUACCCUUGAUGAGUGGACGUUACUCGCAGAAUAAGCACCGGCUAACUCUGUGCCAGCCGCCGCCGUAA